rnacentral:rRNA from 1 species
AAACCGGAGGAAGUGGGGAUGACGUCAAGUCCUCAUGGCCCUUAUAGUGGGGCUACACACGUCAUACAAUGGCUGGUACAAAGGGUUGCCAACCGCAGGGGAGCCAAUCCCAUAAAGCCAGUCGUAGUCCGGAUCGUAGUCUGCAACUCGACUACGUGAAGUCGGAAUCGCUAGUAAUCGUGGAUCAGAAUGUCACGGUGAAUACGUUCCCGGGUCUU